CCUACGGGAGGCAGCAGUGGGGAAUAUUGCACAAUGGGGGGAACCCUGAUGCAGCAACGCCGCGUGGGUGAAGAAGUACUUCGGUAUGUAAAGCCCUGUCAGCAGGGAAGAAAAUGACGGUACCUGACCAAGAAGCCCCGGCUAACUACGUGCCAGCAGCCGCGGAAAUACGUAGGGGGCAAGCGUUAUCCGGAUUUACGGGGUGUAAAGGGAGCGUAGGCGGCAAGGCAAGUCUGGAGGGAAAUCCCGUGGCUCAACCACUGGCCUGCUUUUGAAACUGGGUUGCUGGAGUGCAGGAGGGGUAAGCGGAAUUCCUGGUGUAGCGGGGAAAUGCGUAGAUAUUAGGGAGAACACCGGUGGCGAAGGCAGCUUACUGGACUGUAACUGACGUUGAGGCUCGAAGGCGUGGGGAGCAAACAGGAUUAGAUACCCUAGUAGUC
rnacentral:rRNA from 1 species